UACAGAGGUCUCGAGCGUUAGGCGGAAUCACUGGGCUUAAAGCGUGUGUAGGUGGAUGCCUAAGUACCUUGUGAAAUCCCACAGCUUAACUGUGGAACUGCUUGGUAUACUGGGUGUCUUGAGUCACUCAGGGGCGAGCGGAACAAAUGGUGGAGCGGUGAAAUGCGUAGAUAUCAUUUGGAACGCCAACGGAGAAAUCAGGUAGCUGGGGGUGUGCUGACGCUGAGACACGAAAGCCAGGGAAGCGAACGGG
rnacentral:rRNA from 1 species